rnacentral:rRNA from 1 species
UGGGCUUGACAUCCCACGAACCUUCCCGAAAGGGUUGGGUGCCCGCAAGGGAGCGUGGAGACAGGUGGUGCAUGGCUGUCGUCAGCUCGUGUCGUGAGAUGUUGGGUUAAGUCCCGCAACGAGCGCAACCCUCACCCCUUGUUGCCACCGGGUAAAGCCGAGCACUCUAGGGGAACUGCUAGCGUCAAGCUGGAGGAAGGUGGGGAUGACGUCAAGUCAUCAUGCCCCUUACGCCCUGGGCUACACACGUACUACAAUGGCCGGUACAAAGGGAUGCAAGACCGCGAGGUGGAGCUAACCUCAAAAAACCGGUCUAAGUUCAGAUUGCAGUCUGCAACUCGACUGCAUGAAGGAGGAAUCGCUAGUAAUCGCGCAUCAGCACGGCGCGGUGAAUACGUUCCCGGGCCUUGUACACACCGCCCGUCACACCACGAAAGCCGGCUGUACUCGAAGUCGCUGAG